rnacentral:rRNA from 1 species
UACGUAGGGACCAAGCGUUGUUCGGAUUUACUGGGCGUAAAGGGCGCGUAGGCGGCGUGGUAAGUCACUUGUGAAAUCUCUGAGCUUAACUCAGAACGGCCAAGUGAUACUGCUGUGCUAGAGUGCAGAAGGGGCAAUCGGAAUUCUUGGUGUAGCGGUGAAAUGCGUAGAUAUCAAGAGGAACACCUGAGGUGAAGACGGGUUGCUGGGCUGACACUGACGCUGAGGCGCGAAAGCUAGGGGAGCGAACGGG